UAGAGGGGAUCUUCGACUAAUUACACUCACGUCCUGUGAGUAACGUCGAAGUCACUAUCCUGUAGA
rnacentral:sRNA from 1 species